CGGCGGACGGGUGAGUAACGCGUGGGUAACCUGCCUUACACUGGGGGAUAACAGUUAGAAAUGACUGCUAAUACCGCAUAAGCGCACAGGGCCGCAUGGCCUGGUGUGAAAAACUCCGGUGGUGUAAGAUGGACCCGCGUCUGAUUAGGUAGUUGGUGGGGUAACGGCCCACCAAGCCGACGAUCAGUAGCCGACCUGAGAGGGUGACCGGCCACAUUGGGACUGAGACACGGCCCAA
rnacentral:rRNA from 1 species